GUCUACGGCCAUACCACCCUGAAUGUGCCCAAUCUCUGAUCUUGGAAGCAAAGCAGGGUCGGGCCUGGUUAGUACUUGGAAGGGAGAUCAUAACUUACAGAUCCGGGCACACU
rnacentral:rRNA from 1 species